CGGCAGCACGGGUGCUUGCACCUGGUGGCGAGUGGCGAACGGGUGGGUAAUACAUCGGAACAUGUCCUGUAGUGGGGGAUAGCCCGGCGAAAGCCGGAUUAAUACCGCAUACGAUCUACGGAUGAAAGCGGGGGACCUUCGGGCCUCGCGCUAUAGGGUUGGCCGAUGGCUGAUUAGCUAGUUGGUGGGGUAAAGGCCUACCAAGGCGACGAUCAGUAGCUGGUCUGAGAGGACGACCAGCCACACUGGGACUGAGACACGGCCCAGACUCCUACGGGAGGCAGCAGUGGGGAAUUUUGGACAAUGGGCGAAAGCCUGAUCCAGCAAUGCCGCGUGUGUGAAGAAGGCCUUCGGGUUGUAAAGCACUUUUGUCCGGAAAGAAAUCCUUGGUUCUAAUAUAGCCGGGGGAUGACGGUACCGGAAGAAUAAGCACCGGCUAACUACGUGCCAGCAGCCGCGGUAAUACGUAGGGUGCGAGCGUUAAUCGGAAUUACUGGGCGUAAAGCGUGCGCAGGCGGUUUGCUAAGACCGAUGUGAAAUCCCCGGGCUCAACCUGGGAACUGCAUUGGUGACUGGCAGGCUAGAGUAUGGCAGAGGGGGGUAGAAUUCCACGUGUAGCAGUGAAAUGCGUAGAGAUGUGGAGGAAUACCGAUGGCGAAGGC
rnacentral:rRNA from 1 species